rnacentral:rRNA from 1 species
UGGCGGACGGGUGAGUAACACGUGGGAACGUGCCUUUAGGUUCGGAAUAACUCAGGGAAACUUGUGCUAAUACCGAAUGUGCCCUUCGGGGGAAAGAUUUAUCGCCUUUAGAGCGGCCCGCGUCUGAUUAGCUAGUUGGUGAGGUAAAGGCUCACCAAGGCGACGAUCAGUAGCUGGUCUGAGAGGAUGAUCAGCCACAUUGGGACUGAGACACGGCCCAAACUCCUACGGGAGGCAGCAGUGGGGAAUCUUGCGCAAUGGGCGAAAGCCUGACGCAGCCAUGCCGCGUGAAUGAUGAAGGUCUUAGGAUUGUAAAAUUCUUUCACCGGGGACGAUAAUGACGGUACCCGGAGAAGAAGCCCCGGCUAACUUCGUGCCAGCAGCCGCGGUAAUACGAAGGGGGCUAGCGUUGCUCGGAAUUACUGGGCGUAAAGGGAGCGUAGGCGGACAUUUAAGUCAGGGGUGAAAUCCCGGGGCUCAACCUCGGAAUUGCCUUUGAUACUGGGUGUCUUGAGUAUGAGAGAGGUGUGUGGAACUCCGAGUGUAGAGGUGAAAUUCGUAGAUAUUCGGAAGAACACCAGUGGCGAAGGCGACACACUGGCUCAUUACUGACGCUGAGGCUCGAAAGCGUGGGGAGCAAACAGGAUUAGAUACCCUGGUAGUCCACGCCGUAAACGAUGAUUGCUAGUUGUCGGGAUGCA